CAGCAGCCACGGUAAAACCGAGGGUGCAAGCGUUAAUCGGAAUUACUGGGCGUAAAGCGCACGCAGGCGGUCUGACAAGUCAGAUGUGAAAUCCCCGGGCUUAACCUGGGAACUGCAUUUGAAACUGUCAGGCUGGAGUCUUGUAGAGGGGGGUGGAAUUCCAGGUGUAGCGGUGAAAUGCGUAGAGAUCUGGAGGAAUACCGGUGGCGAAGGCGGCCCCCUGGACAAAGACUGACGCUCAGGUGCGAAAGCGUGGGGAGCAAACAGGAUUAGAUACCCGAGUAGUCCCUGUCUCUUAUAC
rnacentral:rRNA from 1 species